CAUCACUCAAAAAAUCUUUCACCACAUAGUUGCAUGAAAAUUCCGGUGGCAGCCAAUUGUUGGCCCAAAAUAUCGUUUUACUUGAAUCAUGCAACUGUCACCACGCGAUCAUGUCAACUUGCUUGAUUAUCAUGCAGAUUACCACAGAUUACACUAACACAACCACAUGCCACAUGAAAUCCAUGCAUGAAAAUUUGGGGGCGUGGCAUGCAGUCAGCUGGUUUUUUGUUUGCAUGAUAAUCUUGCAACAUCCGCAUGGAAACAUGUAUGGAAAAAAUCCAUACACCUUUUCAUGCAACUUUGUGGUGAAAAAUUUGUUGGUGUUUGUUAGGAUGGUCGGGAAGCUGCAUGAAUUUCCUGUCUGAAAAUUUCGAGCUGAGCGUGCAGGUCUGGAGACGGUCAGUUUGCUGCUGAUUCCCAUCAACUUCACUUGGUUUCAGCUUUCUUUCUGUGUGUGCCGGAAAACCACAAACAUGAAAAAAACAGUGACUCUGUUCGUUCUUCAAAUCUGCUUGGACUGUUUUUUCGAAGUGAAAUUUAGCCACUGCUCCUGAAUUUUCUACGCACAACCGUCAUGGCAAAGUUUGUCCUGAAGCCGUACGCGGACAAGGCCCAGCAGAAACACCCCAUCAAGGUCACCAGGGAGCCAAGGAAGCUAGAGAGAUGAAGGCGUCUGCCGCGUACGGGAGGAAGUUUGGGCUGCCCUGAUAACAGCCCCGCGAGCAGAAAGUGAUAAGCCGGAAACAUGAACGUUGCGUGCGUGUGUGUUUGUGGUGGGAUGUCCGUACGAUAAAUCGGUAAAACAUAAACAUGAAAAUACGAGUGUUUUGUGAUUUAUAAUGUUGAGAUGUGAUAAGGUUGUGUUUGAGCGAAUAAGCAGAGCGAUUUUGAAAAUAAAAAGUUAAAAGAGCAA